rnacentral:rRNA from 1 species
GAGUGUCCCCGAGUAGCAGCGGGCUCGUGGAAUCUGCUGUGAAUCUGCCGGGACCACCCGGUAAGCCUGAAUACUCAUUGUGACCGAUAGCGGAUAGUACCGUGAGGGAAUGGUGAAAAGUACCCCGGGAGGGGAGUGAAAUAGUACCUGAAACCGUGCGCCUACAAUCCGUCAGAGCCUUUCGGGGUGAUGGCGUGCCUUUUGAAGAAUGAGCCUGCGAGUCAGCGGCACGUCGCGAGGUUAACCCGUGUGGGGUAGUCGUAGCGAAAGCGAAUACUAACGAGUGUGUUGUAGUGGCGUGUCCUGGACCCGAAGCGGGGUGAUCUACCCAUGGCCAGUGUGAAGCGACGGUAAGACGUCGUGGAGGCGCGAACCCACUUAGGUUGAAAACUGAGGGGAUGAGUUGUGGGUAGGGGUGAAAGGCCAAUCAAACUCCGUGAUAGCUGGUUCUCCCCGAAAUGCAUUUAGGUGCAGCGUCGUGUGUUUCUUGCCGGAGGUAGAGCUACUGGUUGGUUUAGCGGGACUAUCAUCUUAGCGACAUCAGCCAAACUCCGAAUGCCGGUAAGUGAGAGCGCGGCAGUGAGACUGCGGGGGAUAAGCUUCGUGGUCGAGAGGGAAACAGCCCAGAUCGCCGGCUAAGGCCCCUAAGGGUGUGCUAAGUGGAAAAGGAUGUGCGGUCGCGAAGACAGCCAGGAGGUUGGCUUAGAAGCAGCCAUCCUUGAGAGAGUGCGUAAUAGCUCACUGGUCGAGUGGCCGUGCGCCGACAAUGUAGUGGGGCUUAAGUACACCGCCGAAGCCGCGGAACUGCACACUGUUGUGUGUGGUUGGUAGGGGAGCGUCGUGUGGCCGGUGAAGGUGCGGGGUGACCCAGUGCUGGAGGCUAUGCGAGUGAGAAUGCAGGCAUGAGUAGCGAUUGAUGAGUGAGAAACUCAUCCGCCGAAUGACUAAGGGUUCCUGGGUCAAGUUUGUCUUCCCAGGGUGAGUCGGGGCCUAAGGCGAGGCCGACAGGCGUAGUCGAUGGUUAACGGGUUGAUAUUCCCGUACCCGAGCAUGUGCGAAAGGAGAUGAGGCGGUGAGACUAACCACCCUGAAGGACUGUCGGUGCAUCUUUGGUGUGCUGGUGGUGUGGAUGCGUGGGACCUGAUCCGUAGUAGUCUAGUGAUGGGGUGACGCAGUGAGGUAGCCGAGCCACUUAUUGGAUUGUGGUGUAAGCGUGUGGCCCGUGUCCCAGGUAAAUCCGGGGCGCAUACAGGGUGAGGCGUGAUGCGUACCCUUUUGUGGGGAUGUCGGUGAUCCUGUGCUGUCGAGAAAAGCCUCUAGCGAGUGCGUGUUCGGCCCGUACCCUAAACCGACACAGGUGGUCUGGUAGAGUAUACCGAGGCGUUCGGGUGAACUGUGGUUAAGGAAUUCGGCAAAAUGCCCCCGUAACUUCGGGAGAAGGGGGGCCCGUGCUGGUCGCAGCCUUUUGCGGGUUGUUGGCUGGUGUGGGUCGCAGAGAAUAGAGGGAAGCGACUGUUUACUAAAAACACAGGUCCGUGCGAAGACGGUAAGUCGAUGUAUACGGACUGACGCCUGCCCGGUGCUGGAAGGUUAAGAGGACCUGUUAGGGCUUUUGUCCGAAGCGGAGAAUUUAAGCCCCAGUAAACGGCGGUGGUAACUAUAACCAUCCUAAGGUAGCGAAAUUCCUUGUCGGGUAAGUUCCGACCUGCACGAAUGGCGUAACGACNNNNCUGCUGUCUCAACCACAGGCCCGGCGAAAUUGCAGUACGAGUAAAGAUGCUCGUUACGCGCGGCAGGACGAAAAGACCCCGGGACCUUCACUAUAGCUUGGUAUUGGUGUUCGGUUCGGUUUGUGUAGGAUAGGUGGGAGACUGUGAAG